rnacentral:lncRNA from 1 species
GUCGGGGGUUCGAAUCCCUCCUCGCCCACAGCCUUCCAAAGGGGGAAGGGCCUUUACUUUCCCCAUGAGGGUAGGAAAAUCAUGAUCGGGAUAGCGGACGUAAAGCUAUUGAACUUAGGUAUGCUCUUUCCUUUUGUCGAAGUGGAAUCGUAGAACAGAAUGUGAUACGGUGAGAUAGAAUGCAAUAGAAAUAGAAACAAGGAUAGCGAACGGGUUACCUACUCCUAAGGGUCAAAGCAAGCCCUUUAAUUCAAUUCUUUAUUCUUACAUUAAAAUUCUUACAUUAAAGAAUGAAUAAAAUCUCCCCAAGUAGGAUUCGAACCUACGACCAGUCAGUUAACAGCCAACCGCUCUACCACUGAGCUACUGAGGAACAAGGGGGGAUUCGACCUCCUAGAGUUCAACUCCCGCUCUCAACCCAUGAACAAUAUGAGUCCGAAGCUUCUUUCGUAACUCCCAUAAUUUCUUCGUAGUGGCUCCGUUCCAUGCCUCAUUUCAUAGGGAAGCCCAAAGUGGCUCUAUUUCAUUCUAUUUCACUUCCUAGCACUUCCUAUCAUUUAAUAUCCGUCCCUUUGGUCUUAUUGACAUAAGAGAUGUCAUUUAUAGUCUAUCUCUUUCUAUAUAUGGAAAGUCAAGAAAUUCUCAUCGAAACAUCGAGAAAUUGUGCAUAUAGAAAACUCUAAAGAAAGAAAAAAAGGAGACCCAUGCCAUGAUUUUCAAAUCUUUUCUAUUUAGUAGUCUAAGUUUCUCGAUGAGGAUAAUUAAUUCGGUCGUUGUGGUCGGACUCUAUUAUGGAUUUCUGACUACAUUCUCCAUAGGUCCCUCUUAGAUCUUCUUUCUCCAAUCUUGGAUUAGGGAAGAAGGAGAUAUUCGCGACUACUGGCGAUUUCAUUAUGGGGCAGCUCAUGAUCUUCAUAUCGAUCUAUUAUCCACCUUUGUAUCUAUUCUUUCUUAGCUAAACAGGUGGAAGAUCUAUCCAAUUUGGUUAUAUUAUAUCAUGGACUCGAAAAACGGAUCGGGUUUUGCAAAACUCCAUAGACAUGCAGAAGAGAAAUGCUAUCCCCACUCCGACCAAGAUAGAACUUUUACCAAAAGUUUAUUGUGAUCUUUUUGUUCAAAUAACAAUUAAGGUGAAGCAGGGUUAGGAACAAUGAAUCUCUUUAUGAUAAACAGAUCCAUUUUGCAAGUUCGUUAUUACGGGUAGUUCCUACAAAGAAUCGGACUAAUGACGUAUACAAUGCUUGAAUUAUCGAUGUAGAUGCUACAUAGUGGGUUCUCAUCCUUCAGAGACUACGAGUGUAAUAGGAGCAUCCGUUGACAAAAGGAUCACCCUAAGAUGAUCAUCUCAUGGCUAUUGGGAACGAAUCAAAUCAGAUGGUUCUAUUUCUCAACCUUUCUGACUUGCUCCUACGGAACCAAGGUCGAAAGGAUUGAAAAAGUCAGUCAUUCACAACCACUAAUGAAGGAUUCCUCGAAAAGUUAAGGAUUAGUAGUUCUUUUUCGAAAUCGAUUUCGAAAAAGAAUGGAUUAUUAUGGAUAGUCAAAUAAUGGGAAAAAUUGGAUUCAAUUGUCAACUGGUCCUAUCGAAAGUACUUGUUCGGAUUUUACAUAUUGAUCAUUUUGCACUAGAAUCAAGCUUUUUGAGGGAAUAUUCACACUAUAUAGAAUAUCUUGACUCUGAAUAGUUACAUGCAAGUCUAUAUAACAUAGAAAAGCAGGCUGCCCAUGACGGGUACGUGUGGGGUGAACCAAAUUCUCAUUGAAUUUUAUUUUUCCAUUCGAAGGGGAUCGUACAAGGUCGGCAGUACCCCCUGUGAAUACUCCACCAGUAUGAAAAGUUCUUAAUGUUAGUUGAGUCCCUGGCUCCCCAAUUGAUUGACCUGCAAUAAUACCUACAGCUUCUCCCAAUUCGACCAGAUCACUAUGAGUAGGACUCCGGCCAUAGCAUAAUUGACAGAUCCAAGAAGUGCUUCGGCAAGUAAAGGGGGUUCUAAUAUAUAUUGGUUGUGCUCGAAAUGGUUGUGCUCGAAAGGCAGUUAUGAAUCGAUUGACUAAUCCAAUUCCAAUAUCUUGAUUUCGCGCGGCAAUGCAUCGUGAACUGAUAUAUAUAUCGUCUGCUAAUACACGACCAAUUAGUGUUUGGACACAAAGUUUUUCCGUCAUCCCAUUUUGAGGACUUACAGAAAUACCUCGGAUAGUACCACAAUCUCUUCUACGCACAAUAAUAUGUUGAACUACUUCAACAAGUCUACGUGUAAGAUAUCCAGCAUCUGCUGUUCGCACAGCAGUAUCUACAACCCCUUUGCGGGCUCCAUAGCAGGAAAUUAUAUAUUCUGUCAAAGAAAGUCCCUCGCGUAAAUUGCUUUGAAUAGGUAAAUCAAUCAUUUGUCCUUGAGGGUCCGACAUUAAUCCUCUCAUACCUACUAAUUGGUGUACUUGAGAUGCAUUUCCUCUGGCUCCUGAAAAAGACAUUAGAUAGACUGGAUUAGAAGGAUCCGUU